GUGAGGAAUAUUGGUCAAUGGGCGAGAGCCUGAACCAGCCAAGUCGCGUGAAGGAAGAAGGAUCUAUGGUUCGUAAACUUCUUUUGCAGGGGAAUAAAGUGCAGGACGUGUCCUGUUUUGUAUGUACCCUGAGAAUAAGGAUCGGCUAACUCCGUGCCAGCAGUCGCGGUAAUACGGAGGAUCCGAGCGUUAUCCGGAUUUAUUGGGUUUAAAGGGUGCGUAGGUGGUUUGAUAAGUCAGCGGUGAAAGUUUGCAGCUUAACUGUAAAAAUGCCGUUGAAACUGUCGGACUUGAGUGUAAAUGAGGUAGGCGGAAUGCGUGGUGUAGCGGUGAAAUGCAUAGAUAUCACGCAGAACUCCGAUUGCGAAGGCAGCUUACUAAGCUACAACUGACACUGAAGCACGAAAGCGUGGGGAUCAAACAGGAUUAGAUACCCUUGUAGUCC
rnacentral:rRNA from 1 species